CCUACGGGAGGCUGCAGUGGGGAAUAUUGCGCAAUGGGCGAAAGCCUGACGCAGCGACGCCGCGUGAGGGAUGAAGGUCUUCGGAUCGUAAACCUCUGUCAGCAGGGAAGAACGGUCACUGUGCUAAUCAGCAGUGAAUUGACGGUACCGGCACAGGAACCACCGGCUAACUCCGUGCCAGCAGCCGCGGUAAUACGGAGGGUGCGAGCGUUAAUCGGAAUUACUGGGGGUAAAGCGCUCGUAGGCGGUAUGUCAAGUCAAGGGUGAAAUCCCCGCGCUCAACGUGGGAACUGCCUUUGAAACUGGCAAGCUGGAGUGUGUGAGAGGAUAGUGGAAUUCCAGGUGUAGGAGUGAAAUCCGUAGAUAUCAGGAGGAACAUCAGUGGCGAAGGCGACUAUCUGGCCCAUAACUGACGCUGAGGAGCGAAAGCGUGGGUAGCAAACAGGAUUAGAUACCCCUGUAGUC
rnacentral:rRNA from 1 species